AUAACAACCAUGGUUUUCAAGUCUAUUAUUCUUUUACUCUAUCAUUAGAGUCUAUUAUUAAAAUUACGUUUUCGAAGCGGUCCUUCUUCAAGCGGUUCUAUAUAUUCGUAUAAUACAAAUAUAAUAAUAUAGGUAUAUGGCUUAUUUUCUAAAACUAAUGAACAUAUUUUUCGACCCAGUACUUUUCCGAACCCGCCAAAGAGUAAGCCCCAUGACCGCGUAGAUUUCGUCCAUAUGGCAACCCUAUGCCGCACAAAUGCUGACUAACAGUCUACACCAAUACCACCAACGGUGUAUCUCUCCGCUGUGUGUGCGUGUAUCUGUGUGUCAGUCUUGCUUGUCAGUUGGGAUUUUGUUUCGUUUCGUAUCGGGUCGUUCGUUUUCGUUUAUAUAAAGGUACAUUUCCACAUGGGCACAUGCAUGGCAGUCUAUGUCAGUGUGUGUGUGUGUGUGAGUGGUAUGCGGCGAAGGCAGCGACAAAGCAAACUCAGGCAAAGCGACUGAAACGCUCGCUGGGAAAAGCAAAACUGAACUCGAGCUGCUAUUGCUGUUGCUGUUUCGCUGGCGACGUCGGCUUCUUCUCUUCUGGUCUCUCUCUCCCUCUCCCCUUCUCUUCUCCUCACAACCCCUCUUUGUUAAAACAUUUUUGUUUAUUUCAGCGGCGCGGUCGUAUCUGUAUCUCAGAUGUUGGCUGACUGGUUCGCUCCGCACACUGGCAGUCGUAUCUGUAUCUGCCAGGUACUUUUUGCCCGCUUCGUGUGCGCUCUGUGCUAUUUUAUGCGCUAUUGCCAAGAUUGCUGUGCGAAUUUCGCCUUGAAACAUUUUUUGUUUUUCGUUUUUUCCCUGCUUUUCGCGCAGCUUAUCUCUUUUGGCCCAAAAAGUCGCCAAAUGAAAUGAAAUAAAGACAACUGCAUAUUGGCCAGAAAGCGCGCGCCAAUUCUAAUUCGCCUGGCCAAAGCGAACUCUUGAUUGAAGGUCAGCGCAGGAGAAGUCGAAGUCGGCCAGUCCGUCGCAGGCUGCGUACCAACGCUGACUGAUUGUUUUCGAGCUGCUGCGGCUCGCAAAUGGGAUGGCCAAACCCAACCAAAAUCCAACCCAACCUAACCAAUUUUGCGUCGCAUAUUUAGCCGUAUCCUGCUCCGCUGCUUCCGUCUCUGCCGCGUCUCAGUCGCUGAUGUCAUUACUUCGAGGCGAACGAGAUUGGGGUUUAUUUUUUAUUCCCCAUCGACAGGGGUACAAAGGUAGUUCGGGUUCUCGUCCAGCUGAUGACGGACAUGCAACUGGUCGAGGCUAUCGCUAUUGGUUAUCAACGGCGGUACAAUGGGUCCCCGGGUACUAUGUAUCUCGCGGGGAAGGGAUGACUGUACCAGAUGGUUGAAGGAAACCUUACUGUUAUGGAAUAGUUGGAUAAUAUAAUGGGAUCUAUGAUCUUUGUGAUUUGAUGCAAACUUUGUAUGAUGGAAGAGUUCAGAAUAUAAUCACUUUUUUGCCAGCAAGAAGGUGCUAACCUUAGCAGAGGCAUAAAGCCUAACUAAAAUGCAACUGCAUGGUUUUUAGUUUAGUUUAUUAUAAAAGAUCGACAUGGGGUUCUAAAACUGUUGAGAUCUUCAGAAAUUUCAUUUUCGAAGACCCAUUUAAUUUUUAUAGAUGAUUAAUAGUUUGAUCUGCAAUCCCUUAGCUAUCUAUUUAUUCAAUCUCUUGAGUUUGCUGACAUUUUCCACAGCAUACUUUUGACGAUUCAAGCCCCCGAUAGAUAAAUCGAUCGAUCGAUCAUUGCAAUUGGAAGGCAGAAGUGGAACGAAUCACCCCCGAUUUCAGAUUUUUUUUUCGUGAGUAUCGCUGCGUCGGGAGCUCCUGUUCUUCUGUGCCACUUUGCUUGUUUAGUUUAAUUCGUGACGCGAGGCAGUGCAGCAAAUAAAUCACAACAACGGCACGGCGGUGAUAAAAAAUCGCUUUUCACGUGAGAGUAAAAGCUCCGGAUUCGAAUGCUGCCCUGCCGACGGCGACAGUGACGUUGAUGGUGCUGUUACAAUGCCGCUGGCGGCGCUGUUGGCGAUUUGAAUAUGUUAUGAUGUUGAUGUUGCAUGUUGGCCCGCGUCGCCAACUGGUUUUAUUUUUAUUCUCUAUUUCUAUUGCGUCUACUUCCGAGUUCAAUGCAAGCGACGUCGGCUGAGGCGGCAGCUGCGACAGCGGUAGAGACGUCGGCAGCGACGUUGCGCAACCGCCCACACGCGCUGCGCCUGCCGCUGCCGUUAGCUUUUCUAAAUGUGUAUGCGUGUGUUUUGGCGAGGCUGCGUCGUGCAAAUAUUUUGCCAGCAUUCGCUAUUCACACAUACACGUAUGUUGGUGGCCCAGAGGCUGCGCCACCCCCUGAGGACAACACCCACCCACAAAAACACCACUGAACUGAACGGAACUGAACCGAACGAGCCACCCCCACCAAACGUGUCCCAUUGAAAGCUAGCCGGCACUCACUCACUGGCAAACAACACACAUGUUGCUUCGGUUUAGAUUUAGACGAGUUUUGAAUGCUGAAUAAAUGGCCCGAGUUGCAGAAGCAGCAGAUGAAAGCAGAAGGGGGUUGGGGAGGAGGACUUUUCAGCAGCAGCACCACCACCAUUAUACUGCUACUGCUGCAACAUCCACGGCAGCAACAUCGGCAGCCCCGCUACAACAAUAGCGAUCGUGUUGCAAAAACAGGUGUCCGCUUUGCAUAGUCUUGCCUUCCAGUUGAAUAUUUGGCAUUCAUAGUUGGGAAAAGACUGAAUAUGGUCAACUGGGAAGUUAUCAACAGAGUUCAGUUAUAGUCCUCAUCAGAUAAUGAUGGUAUUUAAAAGCCUUACAAUGAUAAGAUGACAUGAAGUAGCAUUUGAAAGUUCAAAUUGUAUAUCAACUUAUUGAAGAUAAUUGCAAGAUACUUGUUAUUAAGUCCCAAUAUUUUAAUAUUAAGCUAAAAACAUCCAGAGCCAUAACUCAAGCUAAAAUACUUAUAAAUAGCCUAAGAUAUUUUCCAGAUUUGGCAAUAUAUUGUGUACAAUAAGCUAAUUAAUCCGAUUAAAAGGGUUAGAUAGCACAUGAACAUUUUUUCCUAUGGGCAGAUUAAUAAUAUAUAUUUUUUGUAUUUUAACCUUCCGUUGUUUUGCCAUCCUAGACCAAAACUGGCACUGCAAUGUUUCUGUAAUCUGAAUUUAAAAGGAAUUACAUGAUUUGUUUCCUAACAACUAAUUACCUGCAUCCUUACGAAGUUUAUUACCUAAUUACUGCUUGCAUCACUCAGAAUCGCACAUGGGGCAUAUGGGUACUGCGUGCUACUCAUUCCAUACUAUAAAGCAGAAUAAAAGCAAUCAGAAGAAGCGAGCGACGCUCAGUAAUCGAAUCAAUUCAACGCCAAUUAUACAAUCUGUCAACAGGAGCAGGAGAAAAAGAGGAGCAACCUGCAGCCACGAACUCCCCGAACCGACGACCCUGACCGAUAGCAUCGGGUGCAACCUGCUGAUAAGAAACCAUUCGAACAGGAAGCGCUCGCCGCCGUUGUGCAAGGAACAAUAAUCAACGGCAGCGUCAACACACAACUCAUCUUCACUGAAAGAAACGGAGAUACGCGAAAGUAUGCCAUUUGGUAAAAUACCGAAGGAACGUCUUUAUUAAAUACUUAGGCAGGUGUAAGCUGGUGUUCUUUAAGUAACAUCAUCCAUACUUAGACAGCAGUUCAGAUGCAUAGAUAGAUUUCCAGAUAGAUUCCCGAUCAACGAAACUAAAAAAAUCCGCAAAUUGUUAUUGCUAUUUGUAAUUUCCAGAAGGUUCCAGGUGGCAAUUUAGAAGCUUAAAAAAUAAUUUAAUCACUUUUUUAACUAUUAGAGAUCAGAUACUCUACAGUAUUUUUAUAUAAGACAGGUCCUAAGCAGUAUAAAAAGAUUUUCUGAAGAAUAUCCAAUGAAUACUAAAAAUAUAGAAGGGUACGUCUUUUCUCCCACAGUGUCCAGAAAAAGAAUUGCAUUAAGCACAUAGACAACACGCUCCUUACCGAUUCUGCACUUGUUCGCUCUGCCGCGAACCUAUCGUCAUCGGUCUAUCCGAUCCGAUCCAUUCAUUUCCGCUUUAGGCCGGAGUUGGUUGUUGCUUCGGGGCAGCAACAAUAACAACAGCAACUCUGCCACAAAGGCGACCAUUCGGAACCGCCGAGCGAGAAACUAUUGCACCUGAUUGCCUUGAAAAGCGAGCAAACCCAAAGUGGCAGCAAUAAACAAAAGCGAUCCGUUCGCGGCGAAUUCGACAUAUCGCUUUGCGGAUCGCUUCGCCGCAAAACAAAAGGAAAGAGAAUUCUCAUUCACUUCCUGCUCUCUUCCUCUUGCAAAAACUACGAAAACUUAAAACCCAGCUGACGACGACGACGACAAGUUUUCAAACUGAAACGUACGAAACUCAAUUGUUGUUGCUGCUGCUGGCUGGAAAUUGCAGAGAAAUUCCUUUGGCUUAAUUAGCCUCUUUCGUUCGAGGCGAAAAUAUUUUCAAAUGAGAAACGUACAUACAGGCCGCCAAGAAAGCGGCACAACAACGACAACACCAGCAACAACAACAGCAGGAAUGGCAGAAAAAAGAGUGUGGAACGUCAGGCUAAAGCAAAAACAACUCUGAGCUCAGAGCACAAAUGAAACCAGUUUAGUUCAUUUCGUUUCGUUUCGUUCAUUAAUUCAAAAUUUCCAUUUGAAACUUUUUUCCCUCUUCUGUUGCUGCUUCUUCUUCCUCUGCUUUAUUUUGUGUGUGCGCUCUGCUCUUCUGUUGUUGUGCUGUCGUUGCUCAUCCCCGAUUCCCAACCGCCCGCUCCCCUCUUCAACAUCCAUUCCACCCGAUGCCACCCCACCAUUCACCCCGCAGCCCAACGUCAUCGUCAUAAUCAGAGUUUUAACAUUUUAUGUACAGUGUGCACAGGCGGCUCUCGUACUCACUGUAUUUAUACACUCCCCCACACACUGACGCCUCAUACAUAGCGUAAGAGCAAGAGAGAGAGGGCUGCAGAGCAAAGCUCGUUUUCGUUGCGACGACGAAGUUCGUUCGUUCGGUGUUUCGUUCGUUCUCUCCCACAAUCGCAAUGCUCCACCGCUCCACCGACCGCCAGCUAUAUACACAUAACCUACAAAAAUAUAUAGCCCGUACAUACAACGUCGGAUUGUAUGUGCGCUGGCUGCUCGGCGAUAUUUGUGCGGCGCAUCGUGUGCGCUGUCAGAGGCAAAUGGCUUGAUGGCCGUACAGUCGAUGGCAUGGGGCCGUGGCGGGGGCGGACGUGGUGCAGGAACGGUGAGCGGGUAGCGGGACAUUGCAGGCUGGUUGGCAGACAGGCGGCAUAACAUCAGCAGAGGCAGCAGCAGC